AGCUGAGACCCUGGGGGGGGGGAGGGAGCGCGGGGUGGCCGGGAGGAUCCGGGUGACAGCGUGAGAGGUACUAGGUUUUGACAAGUUUGCAUCAUGCAGAAGUAUAAGCUGGUUGUUCUUGGCUCAGGAGGUGUUGGAAAAUCUGCUCUGACUGUACAGUUUGUUCAAGGAAUUUUUGUUGAAAAAUAUGAUUCUACAAUAGAAGAUUCUUAUAGAAAACAAGUUGAAGUAGAUGCACAGCAGUGUAUGCUUGAAAUUUUGGAUACUGCAGGAACGGAACAGUUUACAGCAAUGAGGGAUUUGUACAUGAAAAAUGGACAAGGCUUUGCUUUAAUUUAUUCCAUCACAGCACAGUCCACAUUUAAUGACUUACAAGAUCUAAGAGAGCAGAUUCUUCGAGUUAAAGACACUUUUGAUGUUCCAAUGAUCCUGGUUGGUAAUAAGUGUGACUUGGAAGAUGAAAGGGUUGUAGGAAAGGAACAAGAUCAAAAUCUAGCAAGGCAAUGGAACAACUGUGCAUUCUUAGAAUCUCUACAAAAUCAAAAAUAAAUGUUAAUGAGAUUUUUUUAUGACCUAGUGCGGCAAAUUAACAGAAAAACUCCAGUACCUGGAAGGGCUCACAAAAAGUCGUCAUGUCAGCUGCUUUAAUAAAUUAAAUGCAUUGUAGCUCUGAGCCAGGUCUGAAGAACUGUUGCCCAAUUCAACAGUGCCAGCAUUCCUACUUUGUUAAACCUACCAACAUCUUAAAUGGACUUUCCUGUGGUGGUACCUUUAAGAGGCGGAUGAAAGCUACUAUAUCAGUUUGUACAUUCUAAUCACUUUCCAAUAUCACGAGAGAUUUUUACUUAUAUAAUAGUCCUACAGUAUGCAGCUGGUAAAACCAGAGGCUACCUCCAGUAUUACUGCUAAGAGACAUUUUUCAUCCACCAAUGUUGUACAUGUAUGAAAAUGGUGUACUGUAUACUUUAACACAUCCCCAUUCUUUGUAUUGGAGAGUACAA